rnacentral:ncRNA from 1 species
UUUAAUCCGAUGAAGGGAUGAGUAAAGUCAUUUUCCUAUAGGUAGCUUCAUGCUAUGAAGAGAGCCGGGGUAGCUGAAAACCGGUAUAGGUAGUGAUUUGAAGAUGGUCCUGGGAGGAAUUUACUUUCGAGUGUUACAAGGACAUAAGGGAGUAACGUAGCUGGCGUUAACAGUAGAAGUCUCAGACUUCAUGAGCCUUUUUGUUGUGAAAUGAAAAGGGAAUUUGGGUGGAACCACGUGAGAAUAGCUCUCGUCCCGAUU